GACGAACGCUGGCGGCGUGCUUAACACAUGCAAGUCGAACGAUGAAGGAGAGCUUGCUCUCCGGAUUAGUGGCGAACGGGUGAGUAACACGUGAUUAACCUGCCCCUUUCUCUGGGAUAACGCUCCGAAAGGAGUGCUAAUACCGGAUACGAACUCUGAACACAUGUUCGGAGUUGGAAAGUUUUUCGGAAAGGGAUGGAGUCGCGGCCUAUGAGCUUGUUGGUGAGGUAAUGGCUCACCAAGGCGACGACGGGUAGCGGGCCUGAGAGGGCGACCGGCCACACUGGGACUGAGACACAGCCCAAACUCCUACGGGGGGCAGCAGUGGGAAAUAUUGCACAAUGGGCGAAAGCAUGAUGCAGCGACGCCGCGUGUGGGAUGAAGGUCUUCGGAUUGUAAACCUCUUUCAGUAGGGAAGAAGCGAAAGUGACGGUACCUAAAGAAGAAGCACCGGCUAACUACGUGCCAGCCGCCGCCGUAA
rnacentral:rRNA from 1 species